GUGGGGAAUUUUGGACAAUGGGCGCAAGCCUGAUCCAGCAAUGCCGCGUGCAGGAAGAAGGCCUUCGGGUUGUAAACUGCUUUUGUACGGAACGAAACGGUCCUGGCUAAUAUCCGGGGCUAAUGACGGUACCGUAAGAAUAAGCACCGGCUAACUACGUGCCAGCAGCCGCGGUAAUACGCAGGGUGCGAGCGUUAAUCGGAAUUACUGGGCGUAAAGCGUGCGCAGGCGGUGCUGUAAGACAGGCGUGAAAUCCCCGGGCUCAACCUGGGUAUUGCGCUUGUGACUGCAGUGCUGGAGUGCUGCAGAGGGGGAUGGAAUUCCGCGUGUAGCAGUGAAAUGCGUAGAUAUGCGGAGGAACACCGAUGGCGAAGGCAAUCCCCUGGGCCUGCACUGACGCUCAUGCACGAAAGCGUGGGGAGCAAACAGGAUUAGAUACCCUUGUAGUCC
rnacentral:rRNA from 1 species